CGCUCACUGGGGUUUCACGCUUUUUGUUCUUUUCUCGCGGCAUGACAUUCGUUGUCUUCCAUCCGAUCCAGGAGGGGCCCCAAUGUGUGUUCGAUGCCGCGUGCCAAGCCAGACGGACGGCACUGCCUGAACGGUGUUUCCACAACAAAGCUUGGCACCAUGAGGGCGUCGCCGAUGUGGAUUUGAUGGCCCUUGAAUCCAGCGGGGCCAGAAAUCAUGCCCCCCAGUCGCAGAGUGUUGCUGGCGCUGAAGACGGGCAGGCGGGAGCCGCUCUCUCUGCACAUCCGGGGCAGCAAGUUAAAGUUCCGGAGCGUCAUUGCCCUGGACAGAGAUGCUGGGUCUCGCUGAGCAGCGGGAAUUGGCACCCAAGCGGUCUUCCCUCACCAAUCUUGACUACCUCACCACGAACAGAAGCCAUCAGGACCCGACGAACUUGGGCGCCAUGCUGAGGUCCUCCUACUACGCUUGGGGGUUCAGAGGGUCCUCCCACUACGCUUCGGGGUACAGAAGGUCUUCACGACAAAGACGACGACGGACAGGCAACGAGAACCAAAGCAUGUAUCCCGAGCUGUGGGUUGGUUGCGACUGCGUGUUGUCCU